rnacentral:lncRNA from 1 species
UAUGAUGAUACAACAUGACAGCAAAUAACCUCAACUCACACAUUCAAGAAGUGUGCUGACGUCUGAGUAUGAGUAAUGAAUUUACAUUCUGUAGCAGAAGAGGGUACUUAAAGUGUUAGCAAUACUGUGCUGUUAAUAGAAGGACUUAUCAGAAGAAAGGUCAAAUAUGAUUUAUUGUAUAAUAGUCUAAAAGUCUUUAAAGAGUGGAAAAACUUUUCUUUCCCUCUUGUAAGCUAAGGCAUGGUGUUACUAAGCUGAGGAAUCACACCACUGAAGACACUGAGAAAAUUAAGGGGCAGAUUUAUAUUGGUUAACUUGAAUCUGUAGGAUUGCACCUAUUUGGGUGCUCUGUUCAGGUAAGUAGUAAGAUUGAAAAAAAUGAUGGAAAUAGGAAGUGGCCCC